UGAUGCAGUCCCAAGGAUCCUUCCAAGAGGGAAGUAGGGGGAGUCAGAGACAGAUGAAAAGGCCACGUGAAGCAGAACUAAAGUGAUGGGACCAUGAGCCACAGGAUAUCAGCAGCUUCUAGAAGGUACUGCCCAGGCUUUUCCAGGAUAAUGUUCAGCGCGUCCUAUGUCUACGUCAGGAAGAUCCCAUUUCCGAAGCCCAUGAGGUUUCUGUUAGGCUGCCACCCAUCAGACUCCAGUCAAAGGAACAAAUGGGCAAGAGAACCAAGGAGAGAUUUCUCAUGGUGGACCACACCUGUCCUCGGCCUGGAAAAAUGGAGGAAAGGCCUCGGCGACCAUGGCUUCUCUCCAUUCUGUGCACCGACAGCCUGACCACUGGUAGAAGCGGCCACGCUGCGGACAGAGCCGCUGAGGAUCCGAGCAUCCGAGCAUCCAUCAAGUGAGGUCCGGAUGCCCUCAGAGGCGGUGAAUUUCGGUUGUGCCGCUUUUGUACGACGACGCAGGCCCCAGCGCCGUCUCCUCUCCCGCACGGCUGUGGGCCGCGAUGAACCCGCGCAGCAGAAGCGCGGGCCUCAGUUCCACGGACGCUGCCGGGACGCCAGCGUACAGCAGGGGGCAGCAUUGAGACAUCAACGAGGGGAUGCUCCCGGCGCCGUGAGGCGCCGCAGCAGGAUCCAAGCUCCUCUGAGGCGCUAACCUUUCAAGCAAUUCCCCGGGGAGCCCUUCCUGCCCUGUGAGAGCUGCCCGAAAAUGAGCAGGUUAUAAGAAUGAAAUAUUAAGCAGUACCCUUCUGCAGAGGGAGUUGUCAUUUAGCGUAUUAUCAGUGGAUGACACAUUCUUCCAGCUUAAAGGUGGUUUGGUUAAGUGCAGGAGCCGGGUGAAGGCGUUUGCCAUGGUACCCACUCCAGAACACCCAGCAUGUGUGUGGGUGCCGCUAGCAGCGGGGGGAGGGCACCUGAAAGCUGAAGGCUGGAAGCCGACAGGGACUGAGGACCCCGGGGCCUGUGCAGGAGAGAAGGGGUGCAUCUGCUUUAAGGAUGCUGAGACGGCAGGCACAUUUCCAGCUGUGAUCAGGAUGAAGGAGGCAUAGCCUCACAGCGCGAUGAAGGAAGCUGGUGAGGCAGAAGGGGACAGGAGGCAGGCAGGCUGCUCUUCCCAGGGGCGACAGGUGUCUCCUUCCAUAUUGAUUCUGUUGAUCAGUGGGGAGAAAUGUUUAGCAUUUUCUUUGUUCUUCAUCAUCUCCAUUGACCUGCCCUUUCUCUGCAUGCUUCUCAGUUGAGCUGCGGCAGACACGUGGGCAUACGCUCGGGGUUGAAAAUGGCCCUGAAUCCCUUCCUGACUGGCCAGAAGGGUGGGACCCUUUUUUUCCUCCCAUUUUCUGUGUUUUCCUACUGUGGAUGCUAAGGCAAUGUUCCAGAAUCUGAACUGGCCCUCAGCAGAGUUCUUGCAGAAAAACAUGUUGAGAUAUGUCUCCACCAUGGUCCACAAGCUGUCAGCAUUAAAUCAGUUUAAAGGGGCACAUUUGUAAGAACUCAGAAGAGAAGAAUAAGCCCAGUUGGAUGAACUGGGUAAAACUCUGUGAGGUCCUCUUCCUUUAGCCCAAUGAAAUAAUAAUUAUAUCCUUGGGCAAAGGCUCCUUGCUGCUACAACAAACUGGAAUCUUUGCUGUUCCCCAGUGUGCUUUAUUCUCUACAGAUACUACUGAUGUUUUCUUCUGGAUAAUUACCCUCAAAUCCCCAAUUUUACCCAUACUCAUGGUCCUUGUUGUAAAUGAGAGCCCUCUUGUUUGAUAAUCAUGAGGACCAAAACAAGCCGGCUGCUAAGUGAUUUGGACCUGGAGCCAAGUAUUUCCUCUGUCCUUUUAAGAAGUGGUAUUUUUGGUUGGUCGAAUCAAAUUCCUCCCCCGUAUAGGCAAAGGCAAUGUUUGUAACUUACCUAAGAACCCAAAGCAUAUUUAGGAAUAUGCACCUUAAUUUUUUUCUUUGAAUUAAUAUCUUGAAAAGUCUGCCUGUUGUGUCAAAAUGUGUUAGCAGUGAGUCAUGAGAGCGGUGGGACGACCGGUGACUCAGGCGCCUCUCUCCUUGUCACCAAGGGAACUGGAGUUUGCGAUCACAGGAAACUGCGUUUAAAGCCCAGCUUGGCCUUUACUUCUUUCAUUCUUUUCACCUAUUUGAGUUCAUCUCAGCUCCUGUUUUCUCAAAGGUAAAAUGAGGAAUAAUAAUAGCUGUCUCGGGGCAUCUGGGCAACUCAGUCAGUUAAGCAUCUGCCUUCAGCUCAG